ACAAAGGCUCUUUUCAGAGCCAUCUACUUACUUCAGUAAGGUGCUGU
rfam:Rattus norvegicus chromosome 17, whole genome shotgun sequence.